GUCCCAAGGGUAUGGCUGUUCGCCAUUUAAAGUGGUACGCGAGCUGGGUUUAGAACGUCGUGAGACAGUUCGGUCCCUAUCUGCCGUGGGCGCUGGAGAAUUGAGGGGGGCUGCUCCUAGUACGAGAGGACCGGAGUGGACGCAUCACUGGUGUUCGGGUUGUCAUGCCAAUGGCACUGCCCGGUAGCUAAAUGCGGAAGAGAUAAGUGCUGAAAGCAUCUAAGCACGAAACUUGCCCCGAGAUGAGUUCUCCCUGACUCCUUGAGAGUCCUGAAGGAACGUUGAAGACGACGACGUUGAUAGGCCGGGUGUGUAAGCGCAGCGAUGCGUUGAGCUAACCGGUACUAAUGAACCGUGAGGCUUAACCUUACAACGCCGAAG
rnacentral:rRNA from 1 species